rnacentral:snoRNA from 1 species
GGCCGGUGAUGUGAGAAAAAUAUUUGCUACUCUUGAUUGGGGUUAUCCCCAACUGAUGAUUCUUAUCCACCAAGAUCUCUGAGGCU